rnacentral:tRNA from 1 species
GGGCCUUUAGCUCAGUUGGUUAGAGCAACCGGCUCAUAACCGGUCGGUCCGGGGUUAGAGUCCCUGACGGCCCA